GAUACGCCAGGUACCUUUGUAGGGUCACCUGGUUAUAAUAGCUCUGAUAAUUGCAAAGAAUGUUGUCUGUAUAGGUAGUAGGUGGCA